rnacentral:rRNA from 1 species
AGUGAACGCUGGCGGUAGGCCUAACACAUGCAAGUCGAACGGCAGCACAGGAGAGCUUGCUCUCUAGGUGGCGAGUGGCGGACGGGUGAGGAAUACAUCGGAAUCUGCCCAGUCGUGGGGGAUAACGUAGGGAAACUUACGCUAAUACCGCAUACGACCUUCGGGUGAAAGAGGGGGAUCGCAAGACCUCUCGCGAUUGGAUGAGCCGAUGUCGGAUUAGCUAGUUAGCGGGGUAAUGGCCCACCAAGGCGACGAUCCGUAGCUGGUCUGAGAGGAUGAUCAGCCACCCUGGAACUGAGACACGGUCCAGACUCCUACGGGAGGCAGCAGUGGGGAAUAUUGGACAAUGGGCGCAAGCCUGAUCCAGCCAUACCGCGUGGGUGAAGAAGGCCUUCGGGUUGUAAAGCCCUUUUGUUGGGAAAGAAAUCUUUCAGGCUAAUACCCUGGGAGGAUGACGGUACCCAAAGAAUAAGCACCGGCUAACUUCGUG